rnacentral:tRNA from 1 species
AGACUAGGAUCCAUGAGGAUGCAGGUUUGAUCCCUGGCCUUGAUCAGUGGGUUAAGGAUCUGGCAUUACCAUGAGCUGUGGUGUGGCUCACAGAUGAGGCUCGGAUAUGGUGUUGCUGUGGCCGUGGCUGGCAGCCGUAGCUCCAAUUCAGCCCCUAGGCUGGGAAUCUCCAGAUGCUGAAGGUGUGUCUCUUAAAAAAAAAAAAAAGGCAAAAAAUAAGAAAUAAAAAAUAAAAUAAAAUGUCAAACGGUCAGUAUGAACUAUGGCUUUUUUUUUGUUGUUGUUGGCCAUACCCACGCCACGAGGAAGUUCCUGGGCCAGGGAUCCAACCCACUGUGCAGUUGCAAUCUAUGCCAUAGCUGUAGCAACUCUGAAUCCAUAACCUGUUUUACCAUCUGGGAACUUCCAUGAACGAUAAUUUAACAGUCUGAGAAAACUCGGUUACUGUGUUUAAUUACAUUGACCAUAAAAGAGUGCAAAUAUCAUUUAUGUCAAGUCAGAGGUGCUUUUACAUCAAUAUUCUUUUCUUUUCUUUUUUCUUUUUUGCCACACCUGUGGCUUGCCUAAGUUCCCAGGCCAGGCAUCAAACCCAUGCCACAGUGGCAACCCACGCAGCUACAGUGUUAAUGGCAGAUACUUAACCCACUGCACCACCAGGGAGCUCCUUCAUUGUUCUGAACAUGUAUAAUAUCCAUUCCCAGGGGGCUUUCAUGAUCUCUCUGGUUGUUUCCCACUCUUAUUAUCUCUUGGAUAUGCCUGGAGGUAGGAGAUACAUUUCUAUUUUAUGUCUGGGACAAUGGGAUGUUAACAAUGUCAGAUGUCCUGUAACAUGUCAUAUAUAUAUAUUUUUUUUUUGGCAGAGGUGCAGUUCUGCUGAGCUUGGCAAGUGGAUUGAUGCUUUCACCGUGUUCGUGGUUUCCUGGUUCCAGUUUCGCUUGGUGGAUUACAGGUAUGUGGAGUUUCCCUGCAGAAAUGCUUGGUUGUCCAGUUUACUUGCGAACAUGUGCCCCUAGACCUAGCAACCUCCAUAUGCCAUGGCAGCGACCCCAGAAAAGGCAAAAAGACUAAAAAAAAAAAAAAAAAAAAAAAAAAAAAAAUCCCCACUCUGCGAGAGGACAUAGACUACGUUUGGUUUCUGUGAGGAGAGACGUCCUUAUUCAUUUUACUUAAACUCGUGAUUCAGAAUUUUGUACUAGAUGCUGGGUGUGGGUUUGGAGAUUACAUGGAAUAGUCAUAGAAGAUGAGGGUUGAAUAACAUCCUUGGUACCUUUCUGUACACCUGAAGUGCCAUCAUCCUUGCAUGGAAAUGUACGUGUCAUCCAAACAGACGAUCAUAAUGAGAUUAACCAGCUCCUUGUCUUCCUGGAGCUGUGUGAGUGACUGGUUACAGUCACAUUGAGCUGUUUUUACUUGCUUGUCUAUUUUCGGGUGGGCCUUCCUUGUGGGGUCUGUGGAAGCUUGUGUGAGGAUAAUGUAGGAGUAACCUUUCUUCUCAUUGGAGAGAUGCCUCCUGAGAUCCUGCAAGAAAAAUAUCAGAUAACUCUGCAAAGGCUGAGUGUGCAAUGAGCAUGCGUAGCUUCUUAAUCUAUAUACAAUUAAGAAAGGGAACAUGCAACGCAUUGAAAGUUGUUCAGCAUUUUUGUCAUGUCUUUUCUCAUGGAAUAGAAACAAUAAUUCUUGGGCAGCUAAUUAGCAGCUUCAUUUUAUUUGUUUACAUUUGGCCACCACGUGGCUUGAUGUGGGAUCUCGGUUCCCAGACCAGGGAUUGAAUCUGGGCCACAGCAGUGAAAGUGCUGAGUCCUAACCCCUAGACCAUCAGGGAACUCCGAGCAGCUUCAUUUUAAACAUAGGAAAAAACUGAGGUCCACAGAAACAUAAAGAACAGAAAAGCUGUGAACUUGGAGUUUUAUGCUAAUACUUUUUUCCCUGAUAAAGAGUCAAACCUAAUUUACUUUGGCUAGCUCUCUGAAGUGUUAAAUAAAAGACCCUUGGGGCAGGCAGAUGUAAAGCUUCUAAUGGGUUAUUUGCAGUAGAGAGGAAAGCGGGGCCAUAAUCCAUGAGCUCCAUCUCCUUCUCUGAUCACCUCCUCAUCUAAGUCAUGUGGGACCUCAUACUUAAUUAUCUGGAGAUGGUGCCCACUUUUCAGUGUGAUUCACCUCUGGAAAAUACCUCAUAAAGCAGAACGUAGAAAAAGAAAUCAUAUUUUUUCCUUGUACAAUUAGAGUGUGCAGUACCACCUGGCUCUCAGCAUGAAAUUACCCCAGUGACCUAUAGAAUUUCCUAAGAGCAAAGAUACAGGAACUUUAGAUGUUGGCGGCAAUUAAAUGAAUAAAAUUAAAGUUUUAUUAAAAAUAUAUAGAUGUUACUAAAUGCAUUGAUAGGACCCCAGUGUACCAUACCGGGUGCUUACAAUUUUAUUGUAUGAGAAAUUUGAUCUGUUGAAAAUGAACAUGUUAUUAUAAAUAUUAUUGGGAUAUUCAAUUACUGUUGAAAAAUUGUAAGAUCUUAUCAUAAAGACUUUGGGGGGAUUGUUUGGAAGGAACCAGUCUCAAAUGAAAAAUAUGUACACUAUACAGUUAAGAAAAAAGGGCAAAGUGACAGUGUGUGUCACCUGCUACCACUGGUGUAUGAAACAGGAGGGAAAUGCACAUGCAGUGCAUAUUUCGGAGUUGCCAUCGUGGCUCAUCGGUUAGUGAACUGCACUAGUAUCCAUGAGAAUGAGGGUUCGAUCCCUGGCCUCGAUCAGUGGGUUAAGGAUCUGGCAUUGCCAUGAGCUGUGGUGUAGGUCCAGGCAAGGCUCAGAUCCUGUGUUGCUGUGGCUGUGGUGUCGGCCGGCAGCUGUAGCUCUGAUUCAACCCCUAGCCUGGGAACCUCCUUAUGCCACAGGUGCAGCCCUAAAAAGACAAACAACAACAACAGAAAAACCCACAAUGCAUAUUUCCUCUUGUGCACAGAUUAUCUCUACAAGGAUGCAGAAGAGGAUGCUAGCAUUGGUGGCCUUCACUAAGGGGAUCUAGUCGGUGACGGGGGUCAGAGGGACUCUUUCACCUUUUGGGUUUUGGAUUUUGAAUUUAUAACCUAUUGAAAAAGUACAAUUUUAGUACAUUAGCACAUAUGUAGCCUGUUUAAAAAUAAAAACUAAAUUAAAAAUGAAAGUGCUAACAGUAAAGGGAAAUGUGAAGAGAUGUUUUCUCUCCCUUCAGGUAAUUCUUUUUAGUAAGGCAGAAGCAGCAAAGUCAUUUUGGUAUCUUUAGAAUAUCCAGUUAGGGCUCAUUCUUUGAAAAAUAGUCGUUAUAAGCUGGUAAACAGGAAAAAGUCCUGUUUAGUCCUUGCUAAUCAAAUAAAUGAAAAUCAAAAUAUGAUAUGGCUUUCGUCAUUAAUUUGGUAAAGAUUUUUAGAAAGAAAUGCUUUUGGCGGGGUUCCUGCAGGAAAUGAAAACUGGCGUAUGCCGUCAGGAAAGCAACUGACCGCAAGUAAUGACUGUUUAAAAUGCUUUUGCCUCUUGACUUGAUAGUUGUACAUUUGAGAAAUCUGAGAAUUUUUUUUUUCUUUGUUAGGGCCGCACGCAUGACAUAUGGAAGUUUGCAGGCGAGGGGGGUCAAAUCAGAGCUACAGCUGCCGGCCUACAUCAACCACAGCCACAGCAACUCGGGAUCGAACCAUGCCUGCCACCUACACCACAGCUCAAGGCAACACCGGAUCCUUAACUCACUGAGUGAGGCCAGGGAUGGAAACCGCCUCCUCAUGGAUCCUAGUUGGAUUCAUUUCUGCUAAGCCACGGUGGGAACUCUCAGAGAAUCUUUUUAAGAAUUAUUUUAAGAAAAUGAUCAGAGAUGUAGUAAGAGAUUAAUUGACAAAGAAAGAUGUUCCUCACAGUGUCAGAAGCUUCCUGAAUGGCCAGUAGGAAAAUAGUUGCGCAUGUUCCCCUGUAUUGCAGCAGGUCUGGCAUUGCUACAGCUUGGCGCAGGUCACACCUGUGGCGCAGGUUCUAUCCCUGGUCCAGGAACUUCCACAUGCCAUGGGUAUGGCAAAAAAAAAAGGGAAAAUGGUUGUGGUAUAUUUAUCCAGGGAAAUAGUGUAUAUACCUAAACAGAAGAAAAACAUUCAUAACAUGAAAAAACAUUCUUGAUAUAAUGUCCCGUAGAAACAGAAUAAAAUCCUCAGUAUGUGAUAUGAUUCCAUUUAUGUAAAAAUACUUCUGCAUAUACACAAAAAGACAUAAGGGAAAUACCUAGGAAUAUUAGCCAUGAUCUUCUUGUCUCAGUUGCAGGCGAUUUUUUUUUUAUUCCUUGCGUUUUUAGGGCUGCACCAGCAGCAUAUGGAAGUUCCCAGACCAGGGGUCGAAUAGGAGCUGCAGCUGCUGGCCUACACCACAGCCACAGACACGCCGGAUCCUUAACCCCCUGAGCAAGGUCGGGGAUCAAACCUGCAUCCUUAUGGAUACUAGUUGGGUUCGUAAUCUGCUGAGCCACAGCAGGAUCAGGUGAUCCUUAACUGCUUCAUUACUGUUCUGUUUUUAAAGUUUCUAUAGUGCGUAGGCCUGAUGUUUGUUUAUUUCCAAAUGAAAAAUUGUUUUUGUUAUUAAAAUAGAUAUUGUUGAAUCUAAGAUGUUGGGGGUCUGACUACGGAGUUAAAAAAAUCUGUGGGUCGUCGAGGGCCCUGGAAUCUGGUUCUUCUGUCCAUCUGAGUAACGUGGGGAGGACGAGGCAGUCCCAUGCAUUGCCCUGUGGUGGGUGGUGCAAAAGGAACUGACUGAUGGGGGGAAAGCUGGCUGGAUCCGCUUCCUGGAAUUCAUGCCCCAGGCAGUGAGGAGUCGGCUGUGCACAUCCUUGAAGGGUGGGUCACUUUUAUACAACACUGGCAUGUCUAAUGUCUAGAAAAUGUCAUAUUGUCUGGAAAGGUAUUAUAUUGCUGUCUCCAGAAUGGGGAGCUGUAAGACCCUGCUAUGCUGCUGUCUUGAAGCCAAUCUCAUAGGAAUGUGGAGAAACGUUAUAUUUCCUUAGAUUUGGCUCAACAAAUUAGCAAACAUUGACUUAGCGUCUCCCGCAGACCAGAUUGCCUGGCCCCUGUACCCCCAAAACUGUCAUGUGACCAAAUGACCUGUCAGCAGAUCUGUAAAGCCGUGUGUAAGUCUAUAGAUGCUGCCUCAGUCGCAGCUUCUUUUGGGACUGUGUGGUUGGGAAAAUCAACUUAUAUCUUGUGGGAUACGGGGCAAACAUUUAAUGCUCUGUUAGUAAGUUUCUUAACAAAAAUAGUCUAGCAGUUCCUAUUAUGGCUCAGUGGAAAUAAAUCUGACCAGCAUCCACAAAGACGCAGGUUCGAGCCUGCUCAGUGGGUUAAUGAUCUGGCAUUGCCUUGAGCUAUGGUGUAGGUCGCAGAUGUGGCUUGGAUCUGGCGUGGCUCUGGCUGUGGUGUAGGCUGGCAGCUGUGGCUCCGAUUCCACCGCUAGCCUGGGAACUUCCAUAUACUAUGGGGGUGGCCCUCGAAAGACAAAAAGACAAAAAAAAAAAAAA